GAUUGGCCAUUUUGGAAUCUCGGAAGAAACUUGCUUUCAAUAUUUUGACAAGUAACCAGCUUUUAUAUUUAUACUAGAAUGACUAUCAAUUUUUGUUAUAAUUGUAUUCAUUUCGGUAUAUUUUUAAGCUGUCUUACUAAUUUUCAACACGUAGAUCCACCCAAAGAAAGAGAUAUCGUGGUAUGAUUCAUGCAGGCAUAGCAGAAACGCAGCUGAAUAAUUUGCUAGCUGCCAUGAAUGUCCAUUGUCCUCAUCAUAAGUCACUAAAGUCAAGAGAAAAUGAAGUUGGAGACAUAACAGAGUGUCAGGCAAAUGCUUCAGAAAGGAAGUUUUUACUUGACGAAGCUUUCAAGUCCAUGACCAUUGAUGCAGAAGGUAAUGAACAAGCAGGUAUUAAUGCAUCCACAGACACUUGUUGGCAGAAGAAAGGUUCUGGAAGGGCUUACAAUAGUUUGUCAGGUGUGGCAUCAGUGAUAGGAGAAAAAACAGGGAAAAUUGUGCAUCACACCCUCAGAAUAUCCAGCUGCCGUAUAUAUGUCGGAAUGCACAAAAGAAGGGAAGACCACCUAUACCACACAAUUGUAAAAAAAACUGGUCAAGGGCAGCAAAGGACAUGGAACCAGACAUGGUAGUACAGUUGGUGAAGGAUGUACAUGAGCAAAAUAUUGAAAUUAAUGAACUGGCAGGUGAUGACGAUUCUGUUGGGUUUGACAGGGCAAAGAAACUUCUUCCAAAUUCUAAAAUGGUAAAAACCAGUGAUAGAAAUCAUAUAAUCAUAAAUAUCACCAAAAAGCUGUACAGCCUAAAACCAAAGCAAAAGGAGUUGUUGCCAAUGGUAAUAAAUGCAAUUACCAAGAAUUAUUCUUAUAUGUUGGCACAAAACCAAGGCAGUCCAGAAAAAAUUGAAAAAGGAGUCAGAGGGAGAAUUGACCAUAUGUAUGGGAAACACCAAACCUGUGAUAUGAAAUGGUGUGGUUAUCUAAAAGACAGAGCAUCAUAUAGGCACACAAACUUACCCUUCAGAAAGGACUUGACAUCUGAUAGCCUCAAAGCUGAUCUAGAGAAAUUGUUUCUGGGAAAAAUUGAAAGCCAAUCAAAGAAACUGUCAGAUAGCUUUAACCAUACGGUCUCAACCAAAGCAGCAAAAAAUAAGCAUUAUUCUGGUUCCUCAAAUUUAAAUUAUUGUGUCAGUGCAGCAGUCUUACCAAAAAAUGAGGGAUAUGGUUAUGUGUCAAAGGUUAGUGAAGCAGCUGGAUUGUCACCUGGGAAUGAGACUAUCAAGAGGGCUAUACGAUUGAAUAGAAAGAGGGAUAAAAAAUCUGAAAGAGCCAAAACAAAGCAGCACAAAAAAAGAAGAAUCAAUCUUAAAAAAAGAAAGAUCAGUAAAAAGUACCGAAGUUGAAUUGAGAGAAGGAAGAAUUUAUGAAAGUGAAAUAGAUAGAACAUCAGAUGUAAUACAGAUUGCUGCAACUUCAAACAAUACCGAAUUUAGCAGUUACAUCUUUCCAAACCAACCUAUCUCAAUACAGGCCUCCGAAAUUACAAUAAAAUGCUUCGCUGAGCGCAGCUGGAUACGACCGCAGAGGUCCAACCCUGAACAGUUGGGGCAAAAAUGGACACAAUAUUCACACUUGAUACAGGUCUGAAUUUGGAUUGUAAAUAAUUAUUUGACACAUGGGUCAAUAUCCCUAAUGCACCUCAAAUUGAGGAACACAAAAUUUGUGUGUAAACAAAAAAUCUCUGUGGAGUGAUAUUGGACAUGUUUCUAUUUUUAACAAGUGACAGAGCUUAACCAUUUGUGUUGAUUUGGAAAGUAGAGGACCAUAGAAUAAAUGUGUAAAACCUAUGGAGUUAUUAAAUGUAUUCAAAGUAUUAAAUUUUCAAAGAAUUUAUUGUGUGAAAAAAGGGAUUUUUUACCAGGAAGAGCCGCAUCACGAAAGGAUUUUCGGGGUAUGCUAAUUAACGGAAAAAUGAAUCACACUUCGUACCCCGAAAAUUUAACUACAUAUGUGAAAAUGUCUCGGCUUCGAAAUGAGCCAUCAUACAUAUCCAAGUUUAUGAUAUGGACUGAGCUACAGAAGAAAACGUUACCAUUACCGCCUAUGGAGAAACAAUUGCGCAUAUUGCCCCAAUUUAUAAGACUGUAUAUUUGAAGUUGUCAGACUGAUUUAUGAAUGAUUGCAUCUUGUACACCAGAGAAAAUUGUGAAAAUGAAGUUUCAGACAUAUCAUUCCAGUUUAACCUGAGAUGGCAAAUAAGAGGUUUUAAAAAGUUCUGAAUUACUGAAAUGGACAAAAACUCACAGUUUUAUUCAGAAAGUCAUACCGAUGAAGAUUACACAGGAAUAUUGGGAAAAAUCAGAACUAUGGAGUUCAAUAUGGGUCAAUAUCCAUAAUGAGCCUCAAAUUGAGGAACAUAAAUUUGUGUGUAAACAAAAAAUCUCUGAGUCUGUGUAUUGAUAUUGGACAUGUUUCUAUUUUUAACAAGUGACAGAGCUUACUUAACCAUUUGUGUUGAUUUGGAAAGUAGAGGACCAUAGAAUAAAUGUGUAAAAACUAUUGAAUCAUUAAAUGUAUUCAAAGUAUUAAAUUUUCAAAGAAUUUAUUGUGUGAAAAAAGGGAUUUUUUACCAGGAAGAGCCGCAUCACGAAAGGAUUUUUGGGGUAUGCUAAUUAACGGAAAAAUAAAUCAAACUUUGUACCUCGAAAAUUUAACUACAUAUGUGAAAAUGUCUCAGCUUUGAAACGAGCCAUCAUACAUAUCCAAGUUUACAAUAUGGACUGAGUUACAGAAGAAAACGUUACCAUUACCGCCUAUUGGAGAAACAAUUGCGCAUAUUGCCCCACAUAAUAGGUUUCUGACACUGAAUAACUGUAGUCAAAGAACUUAGAAUUGGUUAUAUGAUUUGAAUUUAUAUUCAAUUUUUUGCUUUUGUGCAAUACACUAUAUGCUGUUGCAAAA